rnacentral:lncRNA from 1 species
UGUGUGUGACCCUCGAAAGCGCUCUCCUCAAACGAGCUCGUGCUGUCGCGAGAACUGCGAGAAACAAGUAACAGUUGAGCAACAUGUGUUUUAAUAUGUACAAAAGCAAGUUGUUACUGAACACAAACUAUGCACUCAUAA